AUAAAACAUAAUAAUAUAUGGUUAUUUAAAAUAUUAAUUUGGUAGAAAAAUUUGGAUAUUUAAUUUAGGUGAGAUUAAUUCGAAAAGUGGUUAAACAAAAUCUAAAUUAAUAAUAAAAUAUGGAGAUUAUGUUAAUUACAUGAGCAAAAUCAGGAGGACAAUUUUCAGGAGAAAAAUCAACAAUUACAUUAUAUACAUAACCCGACCUUAUGUUUUAUUCAACAACUACCUUGUAUUUGAUUCUGACUUUAUAAUUAGUGAAAUUCAAAAUAUUGUUUUCAAGUUGAUCCUGGUGUUCCUAUAGCUUUACUAAAAUAAAUAGUUAAAAAUGAAUAUAAUUAAAAGAAUAAGUAUGAUUCCUCCAGACAAAUAUUAUCAGAUACAAGUUGUGAGCUUGAAAGAGAAGACAUGUUAUUUCAACAAGUUACACUCCUUUAAGAUUUUGUGCUUUUAUAUAAUUGCAAUUUAUAAUUACACGCAUUUGGCACAUUCACCUUUUAUUAAAGAAUCUUACUAAAUGUCCCAAUACCAAUGAUGUCAUGAAUCUUGUUUCCAUCAUAUACUGUAUAAAAAUUAUCGGUCAAAUGCAACAUUUGAGAUAGUUCAUCCAAACGAUAAUUUAUUUCAAGAACAUGGAUACCCAAAAAGUUCGCGAAUUCAUAAUGAGUUGGGUUAGCGUGAAGUAGCUACAAAAAAUCAAUGCAGAUUAUAUAUGAGAGAAUGACAUAAUAAGCGUACUUGUUUAACUCGUUGUUAGAUGCUCUUCAAGCCAUGAAUGAAUAAGUUUGAUGUGCGUCUCCCUUUUAUUUAUUUAUUUAUUUUUUCCUUUUUCUUUUAUCAUUGUAGUGGACUUUGUUGGUUAUUAAUGGACUCUAUUCAUUUUUUUUCUUUUUGUAAUUGUGAUGGAAUUUAUUAGCUUUUGUAGUUUUGUCUAUUUGUGUAAUGGUCUUUGUUAAUUUUGUUAAUUUUGGUAAUGGGUGUUUGUUAUAUUGCUAUAGUUAUUAAUUUUAGUUAAUUUAUGUCUAUUACCUUUCAAUAUUUUUUACGAUCAUAGUUCGACUGAUAUGAUUCAAUUAUAUUUACAACAAACUUAUUGUUCACAAUUAGUAUGAGAUAUUCAGUUUACUAUAGUAUUAAGGUGUCAAAAAAGAGAGGCAAUAGUACAACAUAAUAUAAUGUUAGAUCAACACAUCAUGCUUAUCAACGACAGUCUAGUUUUUUAGAAGUUAGAUAAAUUGGGUUUAUCAAACUAGAUUGACAUCUCAUUAUUGCUUUAUUGUAACAAUGGAGAGCAAAAACCCUACAUUUCACAUGUCUGGUGGGGAAUGUACAAUAACAUUGUAAGAUAUUGCAGUUCAAUUCGGAUUAUUAGUGGAUAGAAAACUUGUUACUUAAUGGUUGCAUUAUGAUGUCUGGUGGGGAAUGUACAAUUACAUUGCAAGAUAUUGCAUCUCAAUUUGGACUACUAGUGGAUGGAGGACUUGUUCCUUGAUGGUUGCAUUAUGACUAGGAACGUGUUUGUGAGAUUAUUUUGGGUUUUUACCACCUAAAAUAAAGGGGUUGAGGUUGAAUAUCUCAUGAUUGGCAUCACACUUUAUAGAAUUUUCCUCCAAUGCUAACGUGGUCACAAUAUAGAGAUAUGCAUGAGCAUCUAUAAUGCAACUUAUUGGAGGAUUCUUGUUUGCCGACAAGUCCAACAAUUUGGUUCACCCAAUGCUCCUUCCUCUAUUGGGCAAUUUUGAGGAAGCUAGUAGGUAGUUAUGAGGCGUUUUCUGUCUUGCAUGGCCAUAAAGAGAAUUAUGUCAAGCUAGUUAUGCAACAACUUUGGGAAUAACAGAUGGAGCGGUACCUUAGCUGUAUCUGAGCAAUCAACAAACAUGUUAAUAAUAUAUCAAGUAUCAUUUGACCGACUAAUGCAAUAAUCAAGGCAUUUGGUUGACAAUGAGCCCCCUUAUAUGCUUUCAUAUCAUAAAGUGCACAAGGAGGAUCUAGUAGAUGCUUUAGCUAUAUAAUAUGACUAUUUAUUUGGGACGACUUAAUUGCGAGAAGAUAUAUCACAGUUGAUGGCGCUUAUUACCGUUGCAUGGUAGCGGUCAGAUUCCUCAAGGUUGAUCCUACUGCUGUUUGCCACUGAAAGGCCCGACUUGUUAAGGAGAACUUAGGUGAAAUGCCGAGGCAAAGUGGCAGACAGUGUAAGCAGACAGGAGGCAGGAAUUUUGACCCUACCAAUAAGGGCUCGGAGGUUAGAAAGAAUGCAUCGAGUGGGAAAAAGAAGGUGAUAAUCUAGUGGGUCAGGAAACGACGUCUGAGGGAGAGUCUAGUACUCCCUAGGCAAGGACAGAUUCUCAGCUAGAAGAUAUAGUUUUUGACAGGAUAGCGCAGAGGCUAGCAGCCAGUGUGGGCUCAGUACGAGCAGACCUAGAGAAGAAAUAUGGAAUUGAGAGGUUUAAAGCCUUAGGGGCUGUGACAUUUGAAGGUAUAGCAGACCCGGCUGAAGCCGAGUUAUGGCUGGAUGUAGUUGAAAAAUGUUUCAAUGUUAUGAGUUGUCCAGAGGACAGAAAAGUAGGGCUAGCCACCUUUCUACUACAAAAAGAAGCAGAGAAAUGGUGGAAAGUGAUAUCCGCCAGACGAGCCAGUACAGAUGCAAUGUUAUGGCCUGAGUUCAGGAAGGCCUUUGAAGACAAGUACUACCCCAGCUCGUUCCGAGAUGCAAAAAGGGAUGAGUUCCUCAGACUAAUGCAGGGAACAAUGUCAGUGGCAGAAUAUGAGCAGAAAUUUAUAGAGUUAUCACAGUAUGCUCUGCCGAUUAUUGUUGAGGAAAGAGAUAGAUGCAGGAAAUUUGAACAAGGCUUGAGAAAAGAAGUCAGAACUCCGGUGACAUCUACGGCUAAUUGGCUAGAUUUUAACCAAUUAAUAGAAAUGGUGAUAUGAGUCGAGCGGAGUUUGGUAGAUGAUGAGCAAUUGCCAAGGGGCAAUGAGGCAGUAGUAGGGCCUAGAGACAGGGGAUCUCGACCUCCAGUUGCAACUCAAACUAGUGGAAGCCAAUUCAAGGGUACAAGUUGGCAAGGAUCCAGGAAAAGGAAAUCGAGACCCUCGGUCAGUGCAGUUAGCCGUCCAGAGAUGCCACGAGCUGAUGAGUCGGUAGCCAGCACAGCAGGAUACCGAUGUGCCCUAGUUAUGGCAAGAGGCAUCUUGGAGUAUGCUAUAGUGACAGGUGAACAGGGACACCCCAACCACACAACAGAUAAUCUCCCAGACAGUUAACCAACCAAAGGGCGCUAGUAAUCGAGGCGAAGGGUCAAGGGGUGCUAAGCAGAAGAAUGUCAUAAGUCGACCCCAGCAGUAGGGGCAAGUGUAUGCCAUGACACACUAGGAGGCAGCAGAGUCUCUAGAUGUUAUGAUCUGUAAUGUCAUAUUAUGUGGGCAGUUUGCUUAUGUUUUAUUUGACCCUGGUGCCACACAUUCAUUUAUAUAUAGCAUGUAUGCAUCUAGUAUGGAUAGAUUGGUUGAGCCUAUGCCUGAAGAGUUAUUUAUCUCUACCCCUUUGAGAGAUGUGAUAAUAGUAGAUAAAUGUUAUAAUCAUAGUGAGAUAUUGAUCAAUGGUCAGGACUUCUAUGUUGAUUUACUUCCCUUAGAGUUGUUGGAGUUUGAUGCUAUCCUGGGGAUGGAUUUUCUAAGUAAGUAUCGUGCUUCAGUAGACUGUUAUAAGAAGGAGGUAAUGCUCAGAAAAUCAAAUGGCCAGGAUGCAAUGCUGACAGGAAGCAAAAGAUUAAUCGCGGGGAAUCUGAUAUCAGCAGUGAGAGCUCAGAAGCUGUUGAGCAAGGGAUGUAAAGCCUAUCUGGCUCACGUAGUGGUUUCUCAAGGGAAAGAGCUGAACCCAGAAGAUGUCCCUGUGGUAAAUGAGUUUUGGGAUGUAUUUCCUGAGGAAUUAUCGGGAUUGCCACCCGACAGAGAGGUGGAGUUUACUAUUGACUUAGUCCCAGGAACAACUCCUAUAUCGCAGACACUGUAUAGAAUGGUGCCAACUGAAUUAAAAGAAUUAAAGGUUUAGUUGCAAGAGUUAAUUGACAAGGAAUACAUUCGACCUAGUGUAUCGCCUUGGGGAGCUUCGGUAUUGUUUGUAAGGAAGAAAGACGGUACACUUAGAUUGUGUAUUGAUUAUAGGCAGCUGAAUAAGGUAACAAUUAAGAAUAAAUAUCCGUUACCACGCAUUGAUGAUUUGUUUGAUCAGCUAAGAGGAGCCAUAGUGUUUUCAAAGAUAGACCUGAGAUCGAGCUAUCAUCAACUGAAAGUGAAGGAAGCUGACAUUCCUAAAACCGCAUUUAGAACUAGAUAUGGACAUUAUGAAUUUUUAGGAAUGCCAUUCGGAUUGACAAAUGCUCCUGCAUUAUUCAUGGAUUUUAUGAACAGGAUAUUUCAUCCCUACUUGGACCAGUUUGUGAUAGUAUUCAUUGAUGACAUAUUGGUAUAUUCUGGCAGUAGGGAGGAUCAUAUAACCCACCUGAGGAUAGUAUUGAAGACGUUGUGAGAUAAGCAGUUGUAUACUAAGUUCAGUAAAUGUGAUUUUUGGUUAGAUUGGGUUGUAUUUCUUGGGCAUGUUGUCUCAGCAGAUGAUAUUAGUGUAGAUGCCCAGAAGACGGAUGCAAUAGUUAAUCGGGAAUGACCCACGACCAUUUCAGAGAUAUGUAAUUUCUUAGGUUUGGCAGGUUAUUACCAGAGGUUUGUGGAGGUUUUCUCUAAGAUAGCUCUUCCGUUGACGAACCUGACCAAGAAAGGCAUGAGGUUUGAAUGGUCGUCGGAGUGUGAGCAUAAUUUUCAGGAGCUGAAACAAAGACUAGUAUCAACACUAGUGCUUACCUUGCCUGUUCCAGGUAAGGAAUUUGAGAUUUAUUGUGACGCAUCCCGACAAGGAUUGGGAUGUGUGUUGAUGCAGGAUGGGAAGGUAAUUGCAUAUGCCUCUCGUCAACUUAAGAAGCACAAAAGCAUUUAUCCUACGCAUGAUCUGGAGUUGGCAGCAAUUAUUUUGGCUCUGAAGUUAUGGAGACAUUACCUAUUUGGAGAGCGCUGCAGAAUAUUUACAAAUCACAAAAGUUUAAAAUAUAUCUUUGAUAAAAAAGAGUUGAAUCUAAUAUAAAGAAGAUGGAUUGAAUUGAUUAAAGAUUAUGACUAUUCCAUCGAGUACCACCCUGGUAAGGCUAAUUUUGUAGCGGAUGCACUAUGUAGGAAGGCCAUUAUUGGUUCAAUAAGAGGAAUGCUAUUGCAGGAGUUCAGGAAUUCUAGAACCGCCUUAUCAGUGGGACCGUCAGGAGGAAUGAUAGCUACUUUCCAGGUAAGGCCUACCUUAGUAGAAAACCUCAAGAAAGAUCAGUUGAAAGACCCUGAUCUUCAGAGGAUUGUGAUGAUGUAAGUAAGGGCAUCAGAGUUGACUUUCAACUGGGAACAGACAAUGUACUAGAAAAGGAGGGGAGAAUGUGUGUGCCUAAUAAGCUACAGCUUAAAUAAGCCAUUCUGGAGGAAGCAUAUAGUUCUGCUUACGCUAUGCAUCUAGGAAGCACCAAGAUGUAUAGAACCUUGAAAAGAUCUUACUGGUGGUCUGGGAUGAAGAGAGACAUAGCAGAAUAUGUGGAUGAUGUAUAAUCUGUCAACAAGUAAAACCUGAAAGAUAAAGACUAGCAGGAUUACUCAAUCCACUCCCAGUGCCUGAGAGGAAGUGACUUUCUAUUUGUAUUUCCUAGGAUGCCCUCAGGAUACGAUGGCAUUUGGGUAAUAGUCGAUAGACUGACCAAGACAGCCAAGUUUAUACCAGUAAAAGUUACUUUUACACUAGACCGUCUAGCUAAGAUUUAUGUGGAUAGGAUAAUUAGUCAAUAUGGAGACUCGAGGUUUACUUCAAAAUUUUGGCCUAAUGUACAGAGGGCUAUGGGCACUAAAUUGCAUUUCAGUAUGGCUUUUCAUCCACAAAUAGAUAGACAGUCAGAAAGGACUAUACAGACACUAGAAGAUAUGUUAAGAGCUUAUGAAUUACAAUUCAAGGGAAGUUGGGAUACACAAUUACCGUUAAUUGAAUUUGCAUACAACAAUAGCUACCAUUCUAGUAUCGAAAUGGCUCCCUAUGAAGUAUUGUACGGUCGACCUUGCAGGACCCCACAUUUAAUUGUCUAAAAAUUGACAACGACAUCAAAUUUAUGCUGGCCCCCAAAUCACACAGGGCUUGCCCAAUAUAGAGUCCUCCUAUGGAGCAAGGAAUGGUGAAGCUCCCAGGAUCGCUCAUCUUCGAUGGGAUUAUGGAUUUGGAACUUUGUGUUAAUGCCACCAUGGCAAAUAUUCCAGCACCCCUCUUCUUAGUUACCAUGUCCUUUAGAAACUUGGCGUAGGCAAGCAUUUCCUCAACGACUUCACUGAAAGGAAUGUUAACAUGUAAUUGCUUUAACAUAGAUAAGAAUCGUUGGUACUGUACCUCUUCAUUUUUCUGCUUACUUAGUCUCUGAAGGAAAGGUGGUAACUGAACUUUCACGGUUCCUGUUUCAGUUGGCUUCGAGGUUGAUGCAACCUCAGGUUUUUCUGCUUCAUUUUCUCUUUCUUCUUCUUGCGUUACUGCAAUCUCAGGUUCAGCUGCAAUGGAAGUUGUUCUACUAUGCUCAUUCU